rnacentral:sRNA from 1 species
CGGGAUGAUGAAGGCAUGCACUUGCAAUA